rnacentral:rRNA from 1 species
UACAGAGGUCUCAAGCGUUGUUCGGAUUCAUUGGGCGUAAAGGGUGUGUAGGUGGCGCGCUAAGUCGGGUGUGAAAUUUCGGAGCUUAACUCCGAAACUGCAUUCGAUACUGGCGUGCUUGAGGACUGGAGAGGAGACUGGAAUUUACGGUGUAGCGGUGAAAUGCGUAGAUAUCGUAAGGAAGACCAGUGGCGAAGGCGGGUCUCUGGACAGUUCCUGACGCUGAGGCACGAAGGUCAGGGGGAGCAAACGGGG